rnacentral:rRNA from 1 species
CCUACGGGCUGCAGCAGUGGGGAAUAUUGCACAAUGGGCGCAAGCCUGAUGCAGCCAUGCCGCGUGUAUGAAGAAGGCCUUAGGGUUGUAAAGUACUUUCAGUUGGGAGGAAGGCGUUGAUGCUAAUAUCAUCAACGAUUGACGUUACCAACAGAAGAAGCACCGGCUAACUCCGUGCCAGCAGCAGCGGUAAUACGGAGGGUGCAAGCGUUAAUCGGAAUUACUGGGCGUAAAGCGCACGCAGGCGGUUGAUUAGGUUAGAUGUGAAAUCCCCGGGCUUAACCUGGGAAUGGCAUCUAAGACUGGUCAGCUAGAGUCUUGUAGAGGGGGGUGGAAUUCCAUGUGUAGCGGUGAAGUGCGUAGAGAUGUGGAGGAAUACCGGUGGCGAAGGCGGCCCCCUGGACAAAGACUGACGCUCAGGUGCGAAAGCGUGGGGAGCAAACAGGAUUAGAUACCCCCGUAGUC